UCCCGAACACGGUAGUUAAGCUUCUCUGCGCCAAUGGUAGUUGGGGGCUUCCCCCUGCGAGAGUAGGUCGCUGCCGGUC
rnacentral:rRNA from 1 species